AAGCCACUAGAAGCUAUGUAGGGAUGGCUGCUGUGUCACAUGUGCUUCUGUAGGUUAUGUCUACAAUAGAGAGGCUAUGUCUACACUCUCUAUUCUGACCUAUGAACUGCUUAAUGAUAAGCAACUCACAUU